rnacentral:rRNA from 1 species
AUGAUUGAGCAUGCACGCAAGAGACAAGCAUCAAGAAUCACUUGGCUCAUGGCUGGAGACGCCAACACUGCUUUCUUUCAGGCCAAGAUCAACUCUAUAAGGAGGAAGAAUUUCAUUCACUCCCUGUAGGCAGAUUCAUGCACGGUCACUUCUCAUGAUGAUAAAGCAGCCAUUGUACAUGAUCACUUUGUCAACCUUUUGGGAACAAAGCGGGACCAAGGCUUCUCCUUAAAAUGGAAUGUGAUCGACCUGCCGUCUGUUGAUAAUGCAAGCCUGGACAACCCAUUCGCUGAACCUGAAGUUUGUGCUGUUCUUCUUGCAUUUCCAGUAGACCAAGCUCCAGGCCCAUACUACUUCUCGGGCGUCUUCUUCCGUACCUGCUGGAACACCAUCAAGCAUGACGUCAUGGCUGUUUUCAAUCACUUCUACAGGCUUGCUGGGGGCAAUUUCUCGGACCUAAACUUAGCCAUGAUUGCUCUGCUGCUGAAGAAGGAUGUUGCAGUCUGCAUGGGCAACUUCAGAUUGAUCAACCUCAUCCAUUCGAUCGCCAAGUUGAUCACCAAGGUUCUGUCGAUGAGAUUAGUCACGGUCAUCAGAACAGUAAUCUCUCCUGCACAAUCAACAUUCUAG